rnacentral:lncRNA from 1 species
ACCUUCCCUCUUUUGACAAUGGAUGAGGCUUGUGCUGACUCCUCUCUGGACAGUGGGAGUGGUAAACCCUGGUUUACCACAUAAACAAUGUGGUUUCUGCACACUCCAUCUUUACAGGAGAAGGGGGUUGCUGUCUGGGUACCUCCUACACUAGCGGCUGGUGCAGUGCAAAGACAAAAGGCUGGGGUUUGAAUUGCUGCAAUAAACUGUGAUUCUAGGACUGUAUGUUCAUGCAGUGUCUUUACAAGCAGUGAAGUUUGAGCCAGUUGCUAGUUGUUAGGCAUAUACUGUGUAUGGGCAGAGAGCUGCCUGCUGGAGGACCUUGUUUCUGCACUGCAAGUGAGGUGUGCAAAGGAGCAUCGCAGUGAACAACUUCAACCUUAACUUCACCAGGAGGAAAACUGCUUAGAGCUCACCAGUGAUAGAAAACAAUAUUUGAUGAAGCAAACUCUGAGUGCUUGCAUGCUUACUCUCCAGAUGGGACCCACAGUCACUAGACUUCAUGUAAUCUGAAAAAACAGGAUUUUUUAUGUGAGUUCCAAGAAAAGGAGGUAUUUAAAAAUCCUUGGAGCCAAGGUUUGCUGCCUUCAGCAUGGAACAGCCUCUGCUGUUCCCGAACAAUGUAUGUUGUGGAGGCCGGAGAGAAGGGGAGAAGGGAAGAACUGCCAGCGGGCUAGACAAUGGUAGCAAUAAGACUGUGCAAGACUUGCCUUGCUGCAUAAAACCCCUGUGCAAGCUAGAGGAUGUCUGCAGAAUGGUUCCAGUUUCAGCCCAGGUAAAUGCUGAAGCAUCAAAGCAUUGUGCUGCUCUUGGACUGCAAUCACAGCACUGGGCCAGGAAGGACUUGGAGGAAAUCAUAUCCCCGUGCUUGUGUUUGACAUCCAGCAGCAGCUGGCAAUGGCAGGAGCAGCCACAGAAACAGUUGUAG